CCUGGCUCAGGAUGAACGCUAGCGGCGCGCUUAACACAUGCAAGUCGUGCGAGAAAGCCCUCUUCGGAGGGCGAGUACAGCGGCGAACGGGUGCGUAACACGUGGCUAACCUGCCCUCACGACGGGGAAAACUCCGGGAAACUGGAGCUAAUACCCGAUGGUAUCCCGAUUCAAAAGAACCGGAGAUUAAAGGCGCCUUUGAAGCGUCGCGUGGGGAGGGGGCUGCGGCCUAUCAGCUAGUUGGUGGGGUAACGGCUCACCAAGGCUUGGACGGGUAGCUGGUUUGAGAGGACGGCCAGCCACAUGGGGACUGAGACACGGCCCUGACUCCUACGGGAGGCAGCAGUGGGGAAUCUUCGUCAAUGGGCGCAAGCCUGAACGAGCGACGUCGCGUGGAGGAUGGAGCCCUUCGGGGUGUAAACUCCUUUUCUGGGGGAAGAAUAAGCUUGGGAGGUAAUGCCCGAGCGA
rnacentral:rRNA from 1 species